GAUGAACGCUGGCGGCGUGCCUAAUACAUGCAAGUCGAGCGAACGGACGAGAAGCUUGCUUCUCUGAUGUUAGCGGCGGACGGGUGAGUAACACGUGGAUAACCUACCUAUAAGACUGGGAUAACUUCGGGAAACCGGAGCUAAUACCGGAUAAUAUUUUGAACCGCAUGGUUCAAAAGUGAAAGACGGUCUUGCUGUCACUUAUAGAUGGAUCCGCGCUGCAUUAGCUAGUUGGUAAGGUAACGGCUUACCAAGGCAACGAUGCAUAGCCGACCUGAGAGGGUGAUCGGCCACACUGGAACUGAGACACAGUACAGACUCCUACGGGAGGCAGCAGUAGGGAAUCUUCCGCAAUGGGCGAAAGCCUGACGGAGCAACGCCGCGUGAGUGAUGAAGGUCUUCGGAUCGUAAAACUCUGUUAUUAGGGAAGAACAUAUGUGUAAGUAACUGUGAACAUCUUGACGGUACCGAAUCAGAAAGCCACGGCUAACUACGUG
rnacentral:rRNA from 1 species